rnacentral:lncRNA from 1 species
GUCAGUUGCUAGCUGAACCUAAGAAGGAACAGCCACAUCAGGUUCCUGUCAGCAAGCUACAAAUAAUGUCCUGGGACCAGCUACUUCAAGAUUAUGUUGUCUCAGCUCUCUUGCAAUGGUUGACACUGAUUUGGAAGCUAAAAUAAAUUUAUCCUUCCUUAAAUGAUUUGUCUAAGC